rnacentral:rRNA from 1 species
GGGAGGAGUAUUUGACAAUGGGCGAAAGCCUGAUCGAGCAACGCCGCGUGGAGGAUGAAGGUUUUCGGACUGUAAACUUUUUUUUAGGGAGACGAGACAAGGACGGUAUCCCUAGAAUAAGCCACGGCUAACUACGUGCCAGCAGCCGCGGUAAGACGUAGGUGGCGAGCGUUAUCCGGAUUUACUGGGCGUAAAGCGUUUGUAGGUGGCUUAGUAAGUUGGGCGUGAAAUCUCCGGGCUUAACUCGGAGAGGCCGUCCAAUACUGUUAGGCUGGAGGAUAUUUGGGGAAAGCGGAAUUCCUGGUGUAGUAGUGAAAUGCGUAGAUAUCAGGAGGAACACCCGUGGCGAAGGCGGCUUUCUAAGAUAUUCCUGACACUGAGAAACGACAGCUAGGGGAGCAAACAGGAUUAGAAACCCUGGUAGUCCUAGCCGUAAACGAUGGAUGCUAGGUGUUGGAGGACUUAACCCCUCCUGUGCCGAAGCUAACGCGUUAAGCAUCCCGCCUGGAA